rnacentral:rRNA from 1 species
AUUGAACGCUAGCGGGAUGCCUUACACAUGCACGUCGAACGGAGUGGCGAACGGGUGAGUAAUGUAUCGGAACGUGCCCAGUAGCGGGGGAUAACUACGCGAAAGCGUAGCUAAUACCGCAUACUAUUGGAGCGGCCGAUAGCGGAUUAGUUAGUUGGUGGGGUAACGGCUCCCAAGGGCGACGAUCCGUAGCGGGUGUGAGAGGACGACCAGCCCACCUGGGACUGAGACACGGCCCAUACUCCUACGGGAGGCAGCAGUGGGGAAUUUUGGACAAUGGGGGAAACCCGGAUCCAGCCAUCCCGCGUGUGCGAUGAAGGCCUUCGGGUUGUAAAGCACUUUUGGCAGGAAAGCGGUACCUGCAGAAUAAGCACCGGCUAACUACGUGCCAGCAGCCGCGGUAAUUC